rnacentral:rRNA from 1 species
UACGAAGGGGGCUAGCGUUGUUCGGAAUUACUGGGCGUAAAGCGCACGUAGGCGGACAUUUUAAGUUGGAGGUGAAAGCCUUGGGCUCAACCCAAGAAUUGCCUUUGAUACUGGAUGUCUCGAGACCGGGAGAGGUGAGUGGAAUUCCGAGUGUAGAGGUGAAAUUCGUAGAUAUUCGGAAGAACACCAGUGGCGAAGGCGGGUCUCUGGACAGUUCCUGACGCUGAGGCACGAAGGCCAGGGGAGCAAACGGG